GUGGGCGUAGCUCAGACUGGUUAGAGCCCUGGAUUGUGGCUCCAGAGGUCGGGGGUUCAAAUCCCCUCGCUCACCCCA
rnacentral:tRNA from 5 species